rnacentral:lncRNA from 1 species
CCAAAUCGAUUUUUUCUCCCACUCCCGUUUCCGAUUUCCGACGAGCGGCGAUUCCAACUUCUGACGAGCGGCCUGUCCGGCGAGGGCGAUACUUCCUGUCCAGUGAGCAGCGGUGAGGGAAAUACUUCCAUCCGGCGAGCAGCGGGCGAUACCUCCGAUCCAUUACGACAACUUCCAGGUAAGAGUUCCUUCAUCGUUUACUUCCUGUCUUGAACACCUUUUACUAGUCUCUAAUCUUGUGGGAUUAAAACAGACUAUUUGUCUUCUUAUGUGACCAGAUUGAUUUUUUUUUACAUAAUCAGAUUGAUUUUGUUUACAUAAUCUAGCAUUCACAUUUUCUUUUUCUAAUUAUGUAUGACUGUUUCUAAUUUAAUCAUUCCAAGUAUCACAUCGAAAAAAUAGAAUAUGGAAUUUAUCCAAAAUAUUACAUUUUUUUGGUUGACUGAAAACGACUAUUCCAGAUGAUUUUUUUUUACAUAAUCAGAUUGAUUUUUGAAUUUAAAUUUAUGUUCUGUUUUAAUUAUAUGAAAUGAUUAAGUAAAUGAUCUUUAAUUUAGAUAUAUGUUAUGCAUGUUUUUUGAUUUUAGGAAUAGUGGGAUGAAAAUACGAUAUCCAAUAAUACAUUGGAUCGUAUAUUAAUUUUAAAUACUAAUUGUAUCGGUCUAAAAUUUUUAAAAUGACCGAUGAUGAUCGAACUUGGAUGUAUAACCGACAAUAUUCAAAUGGAUCGCACGUAUUGCCAGAUAAUCUAGAAUUAUGGGUGAAAGCUACUGAGGGGGAAAAAUAAAGUCGUGUUCUUGGAACAAGAGCAAGUCAUCCAAUGUCAUUACCAUCAAAUCCUAAUAUGGCGACUUCACAGAAUACAAGUUCGGAUAUUUUUGAAAUUCAACGACAAACAAAAAAAGAAACAUUUGAUCUAACAGUGCAAGAAGUCAUUCGAAAACAAAUGUCGGAUAUAGUUAAGAAAGUAAGUAUUAAGACUAUAAAUUGUGUAGAAUAUAACUUGUAUUUUCUAUAUUAUUAUGAGAGUUGAUUACAUUGUUUAUUUAUACUAACUUCUCUAAUUAAUUAUUCUAACUAAUUUCUGUUAAACUACCGUUAGUAAUUGUAGUUUGGUUCUCACACCCCCCCUUCAAUCUGAGUGCUCGUGCAAAGAUUGAGUUUUUCUUUUAAUACUGAGAACUGAACCGUCGAUAAACCUUUUGUGAAGAUGUCUACAACUUGACAUUCCGUAGGUAUGUAAGAAACCUGAAGUACCCCUCUUUCAAUAAGUUAUCUUACAAAAUGGUAAUCUAUGUCCAUAUGCCUGGUUCGGUUCUUACCUGUUGGGUUUGAUGCCAGAAAAAGAGUUGACAUGUUAUCACAGUAUACCAUUGGUGGUUUUUGGAUUCGAAUACAUAAAUCUCGUAAUAAAAAGCAAAGACCUCGAACUUCUGAAGCUUGAUAUUCUGCUUCGGUGUUGGAACGAGAGACUGCAGCUUGUUUCUUUGAAAACCAGUUUACUAAGUUCGAUCCUACAUAAAAACAUGCUCCAGUAUAAGAUUGUCGUGUAUCUGGGUCUCCUGCCCAGUCAGCGUCAGUAAAUGCGUUGAUAGUGUUAUUUGAAAAUUGGUAUGACGUUUAUUUGAAUAUUCGAAUAUCUCUCUUUUGAUCUUUGAAGUAUUGGAUGUCAUUGUUUAUAGUCUCUUUGAUGCAUCUUAAAAUACAUUUUACUGUUUUAAAGUGACUCAUUCUUGGAUUUUGUAAAAAUUGUGUCGCUUGUCCUACCGCAUAAGAUAAGUCAGGACGAGUUAAUGUGAUGUAUUGUAGUGACCCAACGAUUUGUCUAUACAGAGUGGGAUCAGAUAAGAUUUCUCUGUCCGUAGCUGAUAGUUUUGAGCCUGAUGUUAUAGAAUUUGAAAUAGAAGCACAAUUGUACAUAUUAAACUUGACUAUGAUUUCUUUUGCGUAUUUUUGUUGAGAGAUUAAUGCUCAUUCUUUAUUGUAAAUAAUUUCAAUGCCUAAGAAGUAUCUGAGCAAGCCCAAAUCACUACACUUGAACUGUUUGCAGAGAUGUGAGAUGAAUUCAUUUGUGUGCCUAAGGUCAUUCCCGGUAAUGAUUUGAUCGUCAAUGUAGAUAAGAAUAUAUAUUAUUUUUCCCUUCUCUUUCUUUAUGAAAAGUGAUGAAUCUGCUUUACUGUUAAUAAAUUUCAUUCUUAUAAGAGCUCUUGCCAAUUUAUAAUAUCAUGUCCGUGGAGAUUGUUUAAGACCGUAUAAUGCUUUCUUUAAUUUGCAUAUGUGGUUUGGGUAAUUAUGAUCUUUAAAUCCUGGAGGUUGUCUCAUAUAAAUUGUUUCAGUUAAAUCCCCAUGUAAGAAAACGUUGCACACGUCGAGUUGGCGUAGUGCCCAAAUUGAUGAAAUGGCGUGGGCGAUGACAGUGCGAAUGGUCAUGUGAUGUAUUAUCGGACUAUAAAUUUGCUCGUAUUCUGUUUCAUACUCCUGAUGUAGCCCUAUUGCUACUAAUCGUGCUUUGUAUCUGUUUAUUUUACCUUCUGAAUUUUUUUUAAUUCGAAAGACCCAUUUAGAACAUAUAAUGUUCAUAUCUGAGAUUGGUUUGACUAGUUCCCAUGUGUUGUUGAUGUGUAAUGCUUUUAUCUCCUCUUUCAUUGUUGUUGACCAUUUUCGUUGACUCAUUGCGAUUUUGUAUCCUGUUGGCUCUUUUUCUUCUAAGGAAGUUGUAUAUGCUACAUAGUCUUUAUCUUUAGUUGGUUUUCUUCUAUUUUUUUCUGACCUUUUUAUUAGUGGUGUAUUUUGAU